rnacentral:rRNA from 1 species
AAAAGUAUUAGAGGCACUGCCUGCCCGGUGACUUCAGUUUAACGGCCGCGGUAUCCUGACCGUGCAAAGGUAGCAUAAUCACUUGUUCCCUAAAUAGGGACUUGUAUGAAUGGCCCCACGAGGGUUUUGCUGUCUCUUAUUUCAAAUCAGUGAAAUUGACAUUCCCGUGAAGAGGCGGGAAUAUAAAAAUAAGACGAGAAGACCCUAUGGAGCUUUAAUUCACUAGCCCACAUUAUCUUCGUAACUCCUCACGAGGAACAAACUAACUAUGAUUGAGCUAGCAAUUUAGGUUGGGGUGACCUCGGAAUAAAAUCUAACCCCCGAGAAAAAUUUCUAAGACCUACAAGUCAAAACCAUACUGACAUAAAAUGACCCGCCAAUGGCGACCAACGAAACAAGUUACCCUAGGGAUAACAGCGCAAUCCUAUUCAAGAGUCCAUAUCGACAAUUAGGGUUUACGACCUCGAUGUUGGAUCAGGACAUCCCAAUGGUGUAGCAGCUAUUAAUGUGUUCGUUUGUUCAACGAUUAAAG